UAGGGAGGGGAGCGGGAAGACAGAGCUAUGUCUUGAUUAUCUUGGUAUCUGCAGUAUGUAGUCCAGCUCAACAGGCAUUUGUUGAAUGACUGAAUGACUAUUUACAGAGGGCACACUAUGGGCCAGGAACCUGUCUGGGGUCUUAGAUAUGGCCAUGAACAAGAUGGAUGCAGCCCUUGCCUUCUUGGAGCUCAUAUUUGGCAGGGGGUCGCCAAGAUAUAUGCUGCACAGUACAUGAUGAGCACAAGGAGUGUUUCCUAGAGAAAGUACUGGAUGUUUUGCCUCAACAGUCCACAUCAGUGUGCAGGUAAUUAGCAUUACUCGGGGCACUGAAGGAAGGGUUGUCACAAUGACAACAAAGCAGUACCCAUUGAGAGGCAGGAGGGCGUGGUCUGAACUCCAGCUUGGCCAAUGGCCACUGUUGGAACUUGGCAAGAUUCUCCUUGCUGGUGCCAUGAAGUCCGCGGCCAUGUUGAGGAAGCCCUGAGGGCAAAGAACCAUGGGAAGCUUCUAGAAUCUGAGGGUGGCCUCUGGGUGACAGUCAACAAAAUGCCAGGGACCUGCUCAGAUAGCCACAAGGAAAUGAAUUCUGACCACAACCUGAGGGAGCAUAGCAGUGGGUUGUUCCCCAGUAGAGCCUCCAGAUGAGAACACAGCCUAGCCAAUGUCACAAGGAUUGCAGCCUUGUGAGACUCGGAGCAGAGGACCCAUUUAAGCAUUCCUGGACUCCUGGACCUAAACUGAGAAAUAAUAAAUGUAUAUUGCUGGAGGCCA
rnacentral:lncRNA from 1 species